UGAGUCCCACCUCAUGGGAACCUGAGUCAUUGUGAAGCAAAGUGAAUUACCCCGGGCCAUGCUCUCAGGACAGCUCCCAGGAUGAUGAAGACAGGAUGGAGACAUCCCGAGCCCCAAAGGGUGCUGCAGACUCACCUUGUGCACUCCCCUGCCCUCCUCCUGACCCUUGUCUGACCCGUGGGCAUGCAGUCACUGCUGCAAAAUGCCUCCACGUGGCCAGAGCUCCUGGCCUGCGCAAGCCCAGAGCCAUCCUGUGCAUCCAAAUUUGAGCAUGAUUCCCAUUCCAGCCCUGCUGGUAUCCCAAAAAUAAGCAGAAAGGAGUCUAUGGUGAGGGCCUGCAGUCAGGGGUAGGCUGCAUCUCCUGAAAGAAAGUGGCAAAGGGCUCACCAUCACCCAGCUCUUAUACAGUAGCCAGAGCUUUCACUAAGGCAGGAGGAGCCCCGGGCUCAGAUCUCACCUGGAGAGGGUUUAAUGCCACAAUCUCAUCCUCCUAGGAUAGCACUGUUAUCAGCUACUGUUAUCAGUUAAAUGCUCCCUUCUGUCUCUGCUACUGGUACGUGCCACGGAGCAGCAGGAAAAAAAAAAUAAAUCUGGAAGAUGAAAAAGAACAAAACUCUCUGCGGAGCAGUGUGACCUCCCUGCGAGGUGAACUGAGUGUGAACCCAGGUCUUUGCUUUCCGGUUUCUCCAGGAGGAAUUACGCCUGACUUCUGCUUCUGGAAAGGGGAAGAAAUCCAGCUCAGGAAAAAAUGGAGGAAACACAAACUGCUGCAGGGUCUUGCAGAGGGUUUGCAAGUGGUCGCCCAGCCCCGUCUGCCUCUCACCCUGAGUGGUAUCUCACAGUUCAGCUAUGAAGCAAAAACCCUCAGGCUUUCAGGGCCUUGUGCCUGGCAGAAAGAGACACAUCUGGGCUUUUGGCACAUUACAGGUGAGGUGUCUUGGGUUGCCAUCAAGCUCUGAGCCUGUUCAGACCCCUCAGAUCCAGUGAGUUCAGCAGAUAACGCUCCUGCUUAGGGUGGUCUUAUGGCAGCCAAUGCUGGUCUUCAACUUUUCUCUAUUUUAAUUCUUCUUCCUGGAAAAUACAUGUGUGUAUGCACCAUGUUUUCCUCUUAAACAAGGGGUCGGGCAUGGAUAGU
rnacentral:lncRNA from 1 species